CGGCCAGUCCACCAAUAGGAGAGCAGCUUCCACCCUCAAGCCCCGCCCCCGACGUCAGAAAGGUGUUGGUCAGAAUGGACUUUGGUGACUGGGCUGCCGGAGCCAAUCUUGGUCAUUUGUGGGCGAAGGCAGGGGACAUCUACAACAGGUCGCCAGUCUAUCGCAGCAAGAAAUAAAAUUUCCCACUGUAAAAUCCAUUGAA